ACAUGUCGCACAUGUCUUCCCGUCGGACGCCGUGCCACCUCGCCACGCAGCUUUACGAACCUAGAGCAGCGCCGCCCCACCUCCUGUCUCCGUCCUCACCUCCCCGCCCCCUCCCAGCUUCGCGUCUCAUAGCUCGACGCGCCCGCUAUAAUCACGUGAUUGCCUCAUCCGGGUCUUUUGCGUUCUCUUUCCCUCUCCCAACAUGGCGGCCUCAGCAAUACCAGUUUCCAGUGUGAUCCAUUAUUGACCUUCAAGAACUAAGCAAAAAAGAAGAAUAAGAAGGGGAAGACUAUCUCCCUAACAGACUUUCUGGCUGAGGAUGGGGGUACUGGUGGAGGAAGCACCUAUGUUUCCAAACCAGUCAGCUGGGCUGAUGAAACAGAUGACCUGGAAGGAGAUGUUUCAACAACUUGGCACAGUAACGAUGACGAUGUGUAUAGGGCGCCUCCAAUUGACCGUUCCAUCCUUCCCACUGCUCCACGGGCUGCUCGGGAACCCAAUAUCGACCGGAGCCGUCUUCCCAAAUCGCCACCCUACACUGCUUUUCUAGGAAACCUACCCUAUGAUGUUACAGAAGAGUCAAUUAAGGAAUUCUUUCGAGGAUUAAAUAUCAGUGCAGUGCGUUUACCACGUGAACCCAGCAAUCCAGAGAGGUUGAAAGGUUUUGGUUAUGCUGAAUUUGAGGACCUGGAUUCCCUGCUCAGUGCCCUGAGUCUCAAUGAAGAGUGCUUCUGCUAUGCCCAGACGUUCAAGGUCACUCAAGGGAUUU
rnacentral:sRNA from 1 species